rnacentral:rRNA from 1 species
UAGUCCACGCCCUAAACGAUGUAUACUCGAUGUUUGGAUUUAUUUCUGGGCAUCCAAGGGAAACCAUUAAGUAUACCACCUGGGGAGUACGUUCGCAAGAAUGAAACUCAAAGGAAUUGACGGGGGCCCGCACAAGCGGUGGAGCAUGUGGUUUAAUUCGAUGAUACGCGAGGAACCUUACCAGGGCUUAAAUGUAGAUUGACAGGUUUAGAGAUAGACUUUUCUUCGGACAAUUUACAAGGUGCUGCAUGGUUGUCGUCAGCUCGUGCCGUGAGGUGUCAGGUUAAGUCCUAUAACGAGCGCAACCCCUGUUGUUAGUUGCCAGCGAGUCAAGUCGGGAACUCUAACAAGACUGCCAGUGCAAACUGCGAGGAAGGUGGGGGAUGACGUCAAAUCAUCACGGCCCUUACGUCCUGGGCCACACACGUGCUACAAUGGUAGGGACAGAGAGCAGCCACAAUGCGAAUUGGAGCGAAUCUAUAAACCCUAUCUCAGUUCGGAUCGGAGU